GAUGAACGCUGGCGGCGUGCCUAAUACAUGCAAGUCGAGCGAACAGACGAGGAGCUUGCCCCUCUGACGUUAGCGGCGGACGGGUGAGUAACACGUGGAUAACCUACCUAUAAGACUGGGAUAACUUCGGGAAACCGGAGCUAAUACCGGAUAAUAUAUUGAACCGCAUGGUUCAAUAGUGGAAGACGGUUUUGCUGUCACUUAUAGAUGGAUCCGCGCCGCAUUAGCUAGUUGGUAAGGUAACGGCUUACCAAGGCAACGAUGCGUAGCCGACCUGAGAGGGUGAUCGGCCACACUGGAACUGAGACACGGUCCAGACUCCUACGGGAGGCAGCAGUAGGGAAUCUUCCGCAAUGGGCGAAAGCCUGACGGAGCAACGCCGCGUGAGUGAUGAAGGUCUUCGGAUCGUAAAACUCUGUUAUUAGGGAAGAACAAAUGUGUAAGUAACUAUGCACGUCUUGACGGUACCUAAUCAGAAAGCCACGGCUAACUACGUG
rnacentral:rRNA from 1 species